rnacentral:rRNA from 1 species
AUACGGAGGGUCCAAGCGUUAUCCGGAUUCAUUGGGUUUAAAGGGUCCGCAGGCGGGAAAAUAAGUCAGUGGUGAAAGUCUACAGCUCAACUGUAGAACUGCCAUUGAUACUGUUUUUCUUGAGUAUAAAUGAAGUGGGCGGAAUAUAUCAUGUAGCGGUGAAAUGCAUAGAUAUGAUAUAGAACACCGAUUGCGAAGGCAGCUCACUAAACUAUUACUGACGCUCAGGGACGAAAGCGUGGGGAGCGAACAGGAUUAGAAACCCUAGUAGUCC